rnacentral:lncRNA from 1 species
UUUUUUUAUUCUUUUGGCUAACAGUAUAUUUGCAUCCAUAUCGUUGCAUAUUUUUUUUUUUAUCAUAAUCUUUUAUUUGAUGAACCAACAACUUUUUCAUCAUUUGCUCAUUAUUUUAGUACAAAUUAUUGUUCCACGAUCUUUAUCCAAAAACAAGUGGAAUUUAAAAAAUGAGGAUGGAUGGACACAUCGUAAAGUGGGCAUGAUCUAGUGACAUUUAUAUUUGUUAAUGGCCAUUAGUUCGAAAGGGGUUUUUCAUUUGAAAUAUCAAACCGAGAGCCUCAUGCAAGUUCAUGGGGUAGAAUUUAGAUAUGCCUAGUAGUUCAAAUUAAGAAGUGUUAAAUUCGUAAUUGCCUAUGUCACUUCAGUAAUGGGCCAAUGGCAUUAAUUAAAUUCAUCUUCGAUAUGUUUUUCCUUGUUUUUUUUUAUGCAAUUGUAAGUGUGCGUCGCUUGGGAAUGUGAUGUAGAUAAAGCUUCGGACAAAUUAUUACUUAUUGUAGAAGAAUAGUUUGUGUUUAUUCCGACUCUAAAAUCAUAUGAUUUUCUUGAGUUAAUCUAUGAAUCGAAUUGUGCACCUCCAAAGAACUCCUACCAUACCAAAAUAGGCAAUAUAUCCAAUGUCAGAUGUUAAAGUCUAAGAGAUUCAGUUCACUUGAUUAAAACAUCAAUUGUUAAUUCAUCAAUAAACUCGAGAAUAGCCAUGGCUCCUUAAUUCAUUUAACAAAGCAAGGGGCAUUUUACUACAGUGGUAGAAAAAUGUUGAGUCCUUACACGUCAGUUGCUAAUCAAACAUAUGAUAUAACAAAAUUUAUCGUUUGAUUAAAAAAAAAAUUCAUUUAACAAAGAAAAAAAGUUGUGCUGAAUUUGAUUUAAAUUUGUUUAUAUUACGUACAAUGACACACCCCGACCGGAGUCAAGACGUGCAGGCCGUCACGUGAGAGUGACAUAGCCAUGAGCGCAAAACGGAAGCGAUAAAGAGUAAGAGAAAUACCAACAAUUUAAAACCAAGCUAUUAACAAUCCCAAUUAAGAAAGGAUACUAGUGAGAGUUUAAGUGUAUAAAUACACUUUCAGAGCAAUAAGAAAGUCUAGUUACAGUCAGGUAAGACAAUUACUAAGAUACAACAUUAGAGGGUGAAUCCCACUUUUUUUUUUCGAGAUCUGUCAGAACACCGUUGGAUUCCUCGUAGCCACCAAACUCUGCUAACUAAAACCUGGAGGAGCGAAAAACAAAGUUGAGUGGGUCAGUAAAACACAGUUACAUGAAAACCUUAUUUUCCUUUGAAUAUACUAACCCCUCGCCGUAAAACAAGUAUAAUUUUUCCCAGAAUUAAUAUAUAAGAAUAUACAUAAAUAUAUAUAUGUAAUUAUAUCAUUUCAAUCAUGCUUCACAUAAUCAUAUUCAAAUGUAUGUCAUGCCAAGAUAUAACAGAGUAAGCAAUUCAGGUAAGAAUAAAUUCAUAGAAAUAUGAUAUGUUAGCCGAAACCCCUGUGGUAGUCUGUAAGGCUAAAUUCAUAGCUCAAACUCAAUCUAGCCGGAGUCAUUAUUAUGACCUAUACGGCAAUAGACUGCACAUAAGUCGGAACCACUAAAAAUGGGUCUAUAUGACAAGAUUGGGUAUAAUAUAAUUAUGCUCAAUUUUACUCUCUCAUAAUAGCCGGACGAUAAAUCGCUAGUCACCUACGAGUCGGAACCAUAAUUAAGGUAUGUACGACAAGACUGUGCACUUAAGUUGGAUCCAAUAUGAGCAUAUAGUGCUGGAGGUGACUUAAAUAAACAGGCAUGUACUUCAUAUUUCUGGCUAAAUCAUAAUCACCCUAGGUGCAGUUUUAUGAGCUCAACAUUAUUCAAUCACAUAUCACAUCAUCGAUGAUUCACAUAAUCAAAACAUAACUCACCUGAGCUUACCUGGGCCUCCACAACACCAUGCGACAAUAUGCAUAAUUAUGAUAAUGCAUAUACUAAAAUAAAAUAUAGGCAUUGGCAUAGCAUGGCAUUUAAAUUACAUUUCCUUUAAAUACGUUUUCUGGGAAAAAUGUCAAGUAUAUAUAUAUAUACUGAAAAUAACUGUCCACUCACAGAUAUGUCGAUGGGUCGUAGCCCCCGAGCCUCGAUUGAUUACGCACGUCCUGAGAAUAGGUCUCACCUAUAGGCGUAAUAACCGAAUAAACAUUAUUUAACGCACAUAACCAACAAUAGGUAAUAACUUCUCAUAUAAUGCUCAAUUUAGGUAUAUAAAUAUACCACAGUGACCUACAUAACCUUAGGAUCAUUCCCAAAUUUUUAGAAUAUUUUUCCUAACUCCCAUGCGCUGCCACGCGCCAACCAAGGCACAGCCAGAUGCACCCCCCACGCGUGGCCAUGUGCCAGGCACACUGACGGUGUCAAUUGACAUCGUCAGGUAUAUUUCAGAAUAUUCUGUUUAUUCCUUAACAAAACUUAACGGCGUGACCUAACGCCGUUAGAAUAUUCCGUUUAACUUAACGGAAUAUCCUCUCGUCUUCUACCUUCAGCUCUGGCAACCUUCGUCGUCGCCGGAAAACUGGGUAAUUUUCAAAACUCUAUAACUCACUCGUUUUUCAUCCAUUUUCUACGAAAUUACCACCAAAAUUUAGCUUAGGACAUAAGGAAGAGAAAUAUACCACUUUAAAGCCCCAAAGUUGACUGAAUCACGCCGAAGAAAUUCCACAAAAACCGGCCAACCCUUGAACUCGUGAUCCCGACGUCCAAAACACUGCAACGAUACACCCCGAGCUUCGUGACAACCUUCUAAAGCUCCCUGUGAGCUUGAAAUCCCCUAAAAAGCUCACAAUAAUUAGUACAUGAACGGUACCUCAUUUGGGGUUAAGGUUUUCACGUAAUUUCGAAGUAUUUCUUACCUGAAAAUGGUAUAGAUGAACUAAGGAGGUUACAAGGAUUCCAAAUCUCACCUUUUUACCUUCGAUCCGUGCUUGAAAGUUUGGUUUCUAGAUUGUCCGUACGUUUUGUACGGAAAAGAAACAAAAAAUCGAGAGGGAGGAAAGAGAGAAAACACGGGGAAGAGAGAGAGAGCUGAUGUGUGUGUGUUGUCACAGCUCGUCCCAAAAAUUUAGUUAUCGUAGGUGUGAAAUGACAAAAUUGCCCUUAGCGGUUGCUAAGGUAUGUGUGACAUAUUAUUUGAAUAGUGCAUACUUUUCUAAGUUUUGGAAAUUUAAUUGGAUUAAAAUUGUAUGCAUUUUUUUUAUGUGGUUAGGGACUUAGGUGGACCACAUACCCUCAUCAUCAGACUCCUCUCUCUCUCUUAUCCCGUGCCCUCUCUCUCUUCCCUCUCAGUUUCUCUCUCUCUCUCUCUCGAACCGUACGGACAAGAACCCAAAAUCCCUUAAAACAUCACGGAUCGACGCCAAUAAGGUGAGUUUCUUCAUCCUUGCAACCUCCUGAGUUGAAUGGUACCAUUUUUGGAACUUAGAACCUUUGAAAUCACGUGAAAUCCGAACCCCAGUUUGAUGUCACUGUUCAUGCACACGUGAAUUGUUGAUUUUCAUGGAAUUCUAAGCUUACAAGGAGCUUAGUGAGGUCCCAAGGAAGCUCGGAGUACUUAGUUUGAAGGUUUUAGACGUCGGAAUCGUAGGGUUCAAAAUUGGCCGGUUUUCUUGGAUUUUCUCUGGUGAGAUUUCAUAAUUUUUAGAGCCUUAAACUAGUACAACGUGAUUCUACAUGCUUAGGGCUUCAUUUUGAUAUAAAUUGCGUAGAAAAUGGUGGAGAAAUGACGGAGAACAAGGAGAUUGAAAAAUCUCCAGUUUUCCGGCG